GGUUUUAUUCCCAUUCGGGAUGGAUAUGCGCACAGUAAAAAUAGCGUAAAAAUGAAAAACGUUCUGAGCGUGUGCUAAAACAUUAUCUGCAUCACUUCUUCUUGUUACUUUCAUUUCCUUCUUUGUACUUCUAGAUGCUUUUGAAAUACUGUGAAGUAUAUUUCAUUCAUAUUCCACGCAUUGUUGAUAUUAACAAAUGCUUUUGAAAUACUGUGAAGUAUAUUUCAUUCAUAUUCCACGCAUUGUUGAUAUUAACAAACAGGGAAAGAGAUAUAAAGUUACUCCGUAACUAUUGUGUGUUGCUAGUUUCUACUUUCUGAGAAGUUUUUUUUUUUGAGUUCUUAAAUGAUAAAAUGAAAUUGUUUUUAAAACAAUUUAUUUGUAUUUGGUGUUAUUAUUGUUGUAUUUGCAGUGUUGUGACAUUCGUUAAAUUUUAGUUACAUUUGUUUUAUCCAUUGUGUCCAACAUCGACAUGAUUUAGUACGGAGGUCGGCUGUAGAAUACUUUUUGACGUCGUAGACAAACGCUUUCAGACUUUCUACACAUCGCCUUCAAAUGGAAUAAAACAUUAUCUGCGUCACUCACUUCAUGUAGUUGGCUGUUACCUAUAACACAAGCAUUAAGUUGCUUACUUUAGGAACAGACGACAGUGUGUGUAUUGUGUAGAUAUUUAUUUAUUUAUUUGAACAGGGUUGGAGUUAGACUUUGUAAACCUGCAUCAGACAGCUGGCCUUCACUGAUAUUGUGGCGAUAGACACGUUUCGAAGAAAAGAAGAAAAUUAUGUUCGGUUCUAACCUAACAAAAACUCUGAUGUAGUGGAGCGUGUAGGAGCGCUGCAACAGCAACCGUCGCGGGUUUUAUUCCCAUUCGGGAUGGAUAUGUGCACAGUAAAAAUAGCGUAAAACGAAAAACAUUCUGAAACAUUCUUAACUGAGAAAAAUUCUGGGUGAGAGUGAGUGGAGGUGAGAUGAACACUUACCUUGUAGCAGUCCCAUCUGUUAGCGCUGGGUUGCAGCGAGGAGACCAGCAACAUCAGCGUUUUGAAAAUGAAUUGCAGUGGGUGUCAUCAAGAAAGUCAACAAUGGCAGCAUUACUAACGACUGAAUACUGAUACGAACUGAUAGAAAGGUCCCUGGAGAGGCAAAACUAGUACUCAGUAUAGUGUACGUGGCAGUAUAGGUCUGUGUAGGUACUCCUAAUCAAUAUUAAUAUAAUCCACUAUACAUUUUAUACAUCGUGUUGUUUUAUAUUCGAAUAUUAAAAUUCUUCAAAGAAUACAACAUAACUGCCUCCAUAUGUCAAGCUUUUAAUGUAACGUCACGAUUAUUGUCACAAGUUACGUGGUAACGUUGUCUAUUCACAUUAGAAAAUUGUUUAAGAUGAAAAAAAACGGUUCACUUCAUCUAUUAAAGAAUCGUUUGAAUUUAAUUGGAUGGAUGUGUCAAACUUUCAAUUAUUGUUUUCAAAGUGGAACGGAACAUUAUCUGCAUCACUAUUUUUUGCGUCAAUGUUAUUUAUAUACGAGUAUGU
rnacentral:misc_RNA from 1 species